UACGUAGGGGGCAAGCGUUGUCCGGAAUCAUUGGGCGUAAAGCGCGUGUAGGCGGCUUGGUAAGUCCGCUCUGAAAGCCCGGGGCUCAACCCCGGGAGGCGGGUGGAUACUGCUGGGCUCGAGUCCGGAAGAGGAGUGUGGAAUUCCUGGUGUAGCGGUGAAAUGCGCAGAUAUCAGGAGGAACACCUAUUGCGAAGGCAGCUCGCUGGGACGUAACUGACGCUGAGACGCGAAAGCGUGGGGAGCAAACAGG
rnacentral:rRNA from 1 species